rnacentral:lncRNA from 1 species
UCCAAUACCAGAUGGCUUAACUGCUGACGAGAUUUCAUCUGGGAAUGUAGUAGCUAUUGUGUUUGCUAUUAACGCCAAUUGCAAAGCGAGUUUCAAACAAUGCUUAACUGAUAGAGUGACGGAACAAGAACCGCAGAACAAAAUCACCUGCAUCAUCUAUGAUGAAUUUAUGUACUUCUCUGAAUCUGUGGCUAAUGAUCUAAACAUUCCAAGUAUACUCUUACGCACGCAAAGUGCUACCAAUUUUAUUGCUCGCAACGCUCUGAUACAACUUCAUUCGAAAGGUUGCACUCCCUUCCCAGGUAUGUGCCCUGUUUCCUCUUGUCUACAUUUCUUUCUGCAAACAAGGAAAGAGGCUAAUGCCUGGGUCAUUUUUCUUAGAGUAUGGUGUUAUUUUUCUUACUUAUAAAUUAUAACUAACACUAUAACUCGGGAUCACAGACUCUAUGUUACUGAACUCGGUGCCCGAGCUUCAUCCCCUCAGGUUCAAGGAUCUCCCCAUCUAUAUUUUCGACACAGUUGAAAACUAUUCGAAACUAUUGACUAAUGCCAACAAUGUUAGAACAUCCUCAGCCAUAAUUUGGAACACCCUGGACUGCCUUGAACAAUCAUCACUAGCACAGAUCAAGCAACAAUGUCAAGUUCCAAUCUUCUCCAUAGGUCCUCUUCACAAAGUUUCAACAGCAGCCACCAGUAGUUUACUAGAAGAAGACACCAGCUGUGUUGCGUGGCUGGACAAACAAUCCCAUAACUCAGUUAUCUAUGUAAGCUGGGGGAGUCUGGUAUCCAUCAGUGAAAAAGAACUAGCCGAAAUGGCUUGGGGAUUAACUAGGAGCAGGCAACCUUUUUUGUGGGUGAUUAGGCCCGGAUCAAUUUGCGGUUCUGAUUGGAUCGAGCUACUGCCUCAAGGUUUCCUAGAAGCUGUUGGAGAAAGAAGUUGCAUCGUGAAAUGGGCACCCCAGAUGGAAGUCUUGGCUCAUGGCGCAGUGGGCGGGUUCUGGAGCCAUUGUGGUUGGAACUCAACCCUGGAAAGUAUAUCUGAAGGGGUUCCGAUGUUAUGCAGGCCGUGCUUUACCGAUCAGACGGUGAAUGCAAGGUGUGUGAGCGAAGUAUGGAAAAUAGGGAUACAAUUGGAGAAUGAAUUAGAGAGGGGAGAGAUAGAGAGAACUGUUAAAAAACUUAUGGUGGAUGAGGAUGGGAAGGGAAUGAGGGUGAGGGCCAAGGAGUUGAAGGAGAAAAUAGAAGUUAGUAUGAAGGGUGGCUCUACCUACCAUUCCUUGAACGAGCUUGUGGAGUUUAUAAGGUCAUUUUAAUUGGAACAAGAAGUGUUUUUUUCUCUUUUCUCAACUAAGUGCUUUUUGGAAGAAAUUAACACAAUCAUUCCCUCCCCCUAAGCCAUCCUUACAGUAUUUGGUGGGAGAUGUUGAUUGCUAGGCCUCUUUGUAUUCUGAUAAAUAAGUAAUGUACAUCGUGUAAGAGUCAAAAUAUUUUUUCCACUUUCAAAAACAUGUCCCUUGUGAAAUAAAUAAGAUCGUCUGUAAACUGUUUAUCUGUUCAUGUUGAUGUUGUUACUGUGCUUAUGACCAUCACCAUUUGAUUUAUAAAGAUUGACUAUUGAGCAUAGGGUUUAGGGUGUAUAAUUAUAUCAAAAGAAUAAUUAAAUGAAAAUUCAAGACGACACGGCGUACCAAAUAAAUAGAGGAUGCUGGCUCAUCAAUUUCUUGCUUGAACUUAAUAAGAAAUCAUUACAAUAAAAUUAUUAACAUAAGGAAAAAAUAGUAUCAUGUAGCAAACAACUAGUCAUUGUUUGCUGAAAGAGGAUCAGUAGGACUUAUUCCAUGAAGAUGCAGCCAAGUUUGACAAAGAUGUUUAGGAAUUAUUACAUCAAGUCAGUUCUUCCUCUAAUACCAGACACAACAACCAGCCAAUCUACUUUUCAAUAUCAAUCCAUGAAUUGCAGCAGCCAGCUGUGCUGAGAACUACAAGCUUAUGUUCCAAACAAAUGGAAAAAGACAAACUUAUUAUUAAUUGGCCUAUCUAAAUAUUAUUACAAAAUUAGUGAAAUACCCAUUCCUAGACAUGAAACUAUAAAUAUACCCUAUACUAUUUAAAGUAUAGAAACACACCCAAAAUAAACCCAAAAAUCGACAGCUAUCGAUUUUUUAAAUUCAAUAGCAAUGUUGAAUUAUUGUUUUGCCCUUUUGCCCAAAAUAAACCCAGCUCCAAGGCUCAAUUAAAAUAAUCGACGAUUGCUCCUUCAAAAUCUCGGAGCUAGUUUGUGAGAAAUCGAUGAGCUGCCAAUUUAACUAACCUCACCGUCGGAGCCGCAGCUCUAAUUUUCAUUGCUUUCUAGAUCUCUCACUUGCUUUCUCACAGAUCUUGCAGCUAUUUCCAGAUCUCAUAGCUCAAUCUCUGGCAUCUUAGUCAUAUGCAAGGUUUUUUUACAACUCAGGAGGUGGACUCGGGUCCUGAUCCAUGAGGCCGACUCUUUCCUCCAUCAACAAUGAUGCGUUGCAGAGGCCUUUUCUCUAUUCGGUGAGAUCAUCGAAUCGAAGAUCAUCAACGACCGUGAGACCGAGAGGUCUAGGGGCUUCGGCUUCGUCACUUUCAACCACGAGAAGGCCAUAAGGGACGCGAUCGAAGGCAUAAACGGCUAGAACAUCGACGGUCAUAACAUCACCGUCAAUGAGGCCCAAUCUGGUGGAAGCGGCGAUGGUGGUGGUGGUAAUGGAGGUUAAAGCUGUGGAGGAUAUGGUGGCGUUGGCUACGGAUCUAACGGCGUUGGCUACUAAGGUGGCGAUCAUCGUGAAGGCGGUGGGGAUAGCGUCUCGAUGACGAUUCAGUUUAGGUCACUAAGGUAAUUUGUAUUUGAUAUUCAUUUGAGUUUUGAAUUGUGAUUUUAAUUUUUUGUUGUUUAUAAUUUGGUUUGAUUUUAGAUUCGGUUUGGUUGUGAAUUUGAUCUUGUGUUUUGGUUUGAGCUGUGAUUAAAAAUUUGUGAUAUUGAUCAACUUUAAUCUCAAGUGAAAGAAGGUGCCCAUAGCCAUUGCCCGGCCAUUCACAUCAUGAUACCAUUGACUAUCACUGAGGUAAUGAAGGUAACACUUUCAAAUAGUUCUAUGACAUAGUAUUAACAGUAUACUUCUAUGACUUAGUAUUAACAGUGUACUUUUUUUUUCUUGUAGAUGUAUUUCCUUUUGCCUUUGCGAUUAUUUCUGAUGAAACUAUGGACAAUUGGAGGUGGUUUCUACACAGGAUAUCGGAUGUCUUGAUGGUUUUUUUUUGAGUUUUUUUGUAUGAAAUGGUAUUAACAAUGUUUUUUAUGAAAUUGUAUUAACAAUGUUUUCUAUAAAAUGGUAGUAAAAAUGUUUUUUAUGAAAUUGUAUUAACAAUGUACUUCUAUGACAUGAUAUUAACAAUGUACGUCUAUGAUAUGGUAUUAACAAUGUACUUCUAUGAAAUGGUAUUAACAAUGGUUUAUUGUAUGAAAUGGUAUUAACAAUGUUCUAUUUGUAUGAAAUGGUAUUAACAAUAUCUUUUUGUAAGAAAUGGUAUUAAAAAUAUUUUUGUAUGAAAUGGUAUUAACAAUGUUCUAUUUGUAUGAAAUGGUAUUAACAAUAUCUUUUUGUAAGAAAUGGUAUUAAAAUUUUUUUUUUUUUUUGGGUAUGAAAUUGUAUUAACAAUGUUUUUGUAUGAAAUGGUAUUAACAAUGUUUUCCUAUGAAAUGGUAUUAACAAUGUACUUCUAUGACAUGGUUUCCAGAGGUUCGAUGGAGAAGGAAGGGUCGUAAGGGCAUGCCCUUGGUUUUUGUUUUUAUUUUAUUUUUUAUUUUAAAAAAAAUCUAGGUUGGGCUUGUUUUGGGUUUUUAUGGGUUUUUUGUAUUGGGCUUUUUUUAAGUUAGUUAGUGGCAGUCAUGUAAUUUAUAGGAAAUUCAACACUCAUUUUGUAUGUAGUAAAUGAUUUUUGGGUAUGUUUCUAAAGUGUAUUUCAUGUAGGGUUUUUUUAUAAUUUCAGCCUCUAUUUUGGGUAUAUCACUAAAGCUCCCAAAUAUUAUCUGCUUAGCAUGGUCUCUAUAUAUUACAUACUCAAGGCCCAAUGAAUUUCAAGGAGACAGUCAAGCAAUAUAAAGCUUCCAUAGCCACAAGCUAUUGAGUGUCUUUGUGCGCGUGUGUGUGUGCGCGCUUAUCGGUGAGACAGAAGAGGAAGAGGGAAGGGGGGAGAUGGAAAAGAAAGCCGAGAGUGGUCAACUGUUGGUCUUAGUUCCAUGCCCAUACCAAGGCCACAUAAACCCAAUGCUUAAGCUGGGUAACUUCCUUCACUCAAAGGGCUUUUCCAUUGCAAUUGUUCACACCCAUUUCAACUCUCCAAACCCUUCAAACCACCCCGAAUUCACCUUCUUUCCAAUACCAGAUGGCUUAACUGCUGAUGAGAUUUCAUCUGGGAAUGCAGUAACUAUUGUGUUAGCUAUUAACGCCAAUUGCAAAGCUAGUUUCGAACAAUGCUUGACUGAUAGAGUGACGGAACAAGAACUGCAGAACAAAAUCACCUGCAUCAUCUAUGAUGAAUUUAUGUACUUCUCUGAAUCUGUGGCUAAUGAUCUAAACAUUCCAAGUAUACUCUUACGCACGCAAAGUGCUACCAAUUUUAUUGCUCGCAACGCUAUGAUACGACUUCAUUCAAAAGGUUGCACU